GACGAACGCUGGCGGCGUGCUUAACACAUGCAAGUCGAACGGAAAGGCCCUGCUUUUGUGGGGUGCUCGAGUGGCGAACGGGUGAGUAACACGUGAGUAACCUGCCCUUGACUUUGGGAUAACUUCAGGAAACUGGGGCUAAUACCGGAUAGGAGCUCCUGCUGCAUGGUGGGGGUUGGAAAGUUUCGGCGGUUGGGGAUGGACUCGCGGCUUAUCAGCGUGUUGGUGGGGUAGUGGCUUACCAAGGCUUUGACGGGUAGCCGGCCUGAGAGGGUGACCGGCCACAUUGGGACUGAGAUACGGCCCAGACUCCUACGGGAGGCAGCAGUGGGGAAUAUUGCACAAUGGGCGGAAGCCUGAUGCAGCAACGCCGCGUGCGGGAUGAGGGCCUUCGGGUUGUAAACCGCUUUCGCCUGUGACGAAGCGAGAGUGACGGUAAUGGGUAAAGAAGCACCGGCUAACUACGUG
rnacentral:rRNA from 1 species